rnacentral:tRNA from 1 species
GCCUGGGUGGCUCAGUCGGUUAAGCGUCCGACUUCAGCUCAGGUCACGAUCUCGCAGUCCGUGGGUUCAAGCCCCGCGUCGGGCU